rnacentral:tRNA from 1 species
GGGGAUGCAGCUCAGAGGUAGAGUGUUUGGCUAGCAUGCAUGAGGCCCUGGGUGUGAUUCCCAGUACCACCA